CUACUUCCUAUCGUCAAUAGCAACCUUAGGACCUGGUGUCACCACUGGGAUAAAUGUUUAAGAACCAGCAUCGAGCAUGGGCUGGGACAUCCCGUAUACCAUAUUUGCACUAUGGCACCUCAUCCGUAUCAGGGUCAAAGUGCUCCUCUUCCUCCUCCACUAGGGUGGGCACUCGUCUCCCACUACGACGGCUACUAGAUGCAACUUCAGAAGAACCAGUGUUAGAGCGUUUUCUCAGGCGGCGAUACAUUGUACCUUCACAAGACAAACAAUAUUAGCCAUAACACGUAAAUCAAAACAAGACCAAAUAGAGUAAUCACCCCACACUUAUGGUAGUGGAAUGUUCACAGGUAAAAUAUAUAGCAGGGUCGCAGACUACCCCAUUAGAAAUGUUCCACAAGCAAUCAACAACCCACCCAACCACCCUCAUAAUGGUACAAUCACAAAACCACUGAUUAUUCUGGCUUAAACUACAAAAUUAAGAAGCUAAUCUAGUAACUAAGAAUAUAAAGAAAAGAAGUUAUGCUAAUGCACUACUAAAAAACUUCAGAAAUUUCAACACAACACUACACAAGCACAAAGCAUGAAUUGAAUAUUCCAUAAGCACCUAGCACCACUUUAUCUCAUAGUAAUUAUUCCCCGCUAAGCUACAAUGUCACUUUAUAUGUCAUUGAGGCAUUUAAUAAAGCACGUGGCAUUCACCAAAGUCACCUCAUAAUUUCAACUUUAAUUCUUCCAAGAUUACUGCACAACCAUACAAAUAAACCAUCCUACCACCACCGCAAUGUAACAAGGGCACAAAGUGCUUCAAAUUUGCACAGAUGUUCCCCUAAUUUUCGUUCUUUGAGGAACCUCCACCCAACUUCACCAUUAAAAUUUUCUAUUAGCAUCAAGACAUACUAAACAUCUACCACAAUUAUAACUAAAAUGGAAACCUCACAAGUUAAGCACCAUUCAUGGCUAAAAUAAGCAAAGAAAUUGAAAAACAAUUAGCAACACUACACAACCUAGGGUUUAGUUCAGAAUAAACUAUAAUACUCAACUACAAUAAAUUACUCAAAGAAAAUAGAGGAGAGUAGAGAAACACUUACCUUAAGGAUGAAUGGAAGGGAUGUGGGUGUGUGUGUGAGAGGAAUUUGAGAAGUAAAGAGAGUGGGGGAAUUGGGGAAGGGCUUGGUCAUGUAUUCUGGAUAGAGAGCAGAGAAAAC
rnacentral:lncRNA from 1 species